ACGGCACUGCUGUCCGCUCGGCUACCUGCGGAACGCCGGGGCGCUGAGGGUAUAAUGCUGGGGCGCCUCGGCACUGGGGCCAAGGACAUCCCGAGCCCGAAAAGAACGCUGUUUAGGCACUGACUAACCACCUAAGUGAGGGCACUGAAGCUACGGGAAAGGCAAGGUCCGCAUCGCGUCGCCCCAGCCCGGGACGCCGGAUUGCUCACACAGGCUGAGAGUAGAAAUGCUGUAAGAAGGGUGAGCCAUACAUGUAAUCACGAGUGUCAUUUGAAGAGAUAAACAGAGGCUGAUCUGAUUACAAAACAGAA